rnacentral:rRNA from 1 species
AGCGAACGCUGGCGGCAGGCUUAACACAUGCCAGUCGAGCGGGCACUUCGGUGUCAGCGGCAGACGGGUGAGUAACACGUGGGAACGUACCCUUUGGUUCGGAAUAACGCUGGGAAACUAGCGCUAAUACCGGAUACGCCCUUUUGGGGAAAGGCUUGCUGCCGGAGGAUCGGCCCGCGUCUGAUUAGCUAGUUGGUGGGGUAAUGGCCUACCAAGGCGACGAUCAGUAGCUGGUCUGAGAGGAUGAUCAGCCACACUGGGACUGAGACACGGCCCAGACUCCUACGGGAGGCAGCAGUGGGGAAUAUUGGACAAUGGGCGCAAGCCUGAUCCAGCCAUGCCGCGUGAGUGAUGAAGGCCUUAGGGUUGUAAAGCUCUUUUGUCCGGGACGAUAAUGACGGUACCGGAAGAAUAAGCCCCGGCUAACUUCGUG